UCUGAUGUUUGUCUUCACUUCAGAGAUCUGCAGUAGAGUUUAAACACUGUGUUUGUGUAUGUUUGUCAGGGGUAAAGCGUGGCUCAUUUUAUUAAAGUGAUCAAAUCAAAGCACCGACAUGAGGAUUAUUCAGAUUCAACUCUAUGUGCUCAUUUGGAGUAACGCUGCCGUGACUUUAGAUCGACUAACAGAUUUGGGACAAGAUGUGACUAUAAACUGUGAUCUGGAUACGAAUGAGGUUUAUUGGGUUUUACUGAAACAAUCAGAUUCCAUUACAAUAUUACUGCAGUCGCUCUCAGUCACAAAUGUAGUUUUUCACUUUAAUACGACAUUUAAAAACAAAUAUUCAAUAGAGUCUAAACAUCGUCUGGUCAUAAAAGAUGUUACUGUAAAUGAGUUAGGAGUUUAUUACUGUAUGAAGACGGGCAUGUCUCCAAAACUCAGUACCAUCACAAGACUGCACAUCAUCGGUAAGCCAUCGGGUCAAACUUAUGUUGAUUUAUGACCCUGUUAUUUAUGACCCUGUGAGCUAAAUUAUCUUUUGUGUAUUUAAAGUAUUGCAUAAACUCUUACAUAAUGUAAAUAACAUAUAUAACCUGAAAGAUUGAAUCAAAGAUUGAUAACUUUGUGGUUAAAAUGAAACUUUUGCGUGGAUUUCAAACACAUGGUCACAUUUAGACACUUGUGUUUGAUCUGUAAAAAUGCAGUCAGUUAAAAUACACAAAGUAAGCAUGUUGGCAAUCAAAGUCUUUACAUGCCUUUCUGAUAAACAUCUUUCUCACAGAGCCGACUCAACGAACUAAUUUAUCAAAUUGUGUAAAUCGGACUUCUGAGAACAAUGAAAUGAAACAGAAGAAUGAAGCACAAUGGUUCAUUAUCAUCAUUAUAUCUGGAUUACUGAAGGGUCUUCUGAUCAUUGCUAUGGUUAUUGGAGGUGUUUGUUAUUCUGGAGAAUAACACCGCAGUGAGCUUUUCCAC